GCAACUGGUAAGUACGGGAAGAGAGCUUUUUCAGUUGCUGGUGAUGUUUGAGGCACAAACGCAAGCGAGGGCAGCUCUCCAUAGAUAUUAAAGAAUAAUAUAAUCUAUGGGGCUCUCGAGGACACUAAGGGCAUGGAUAAUAAAGAAUCUAUAUUAUUUCCAUGAACUAUUAUUUCUAAGAAUCUUUAUUAUCUAUGCACUAAGGGGCCCGGUGGUAAACGUUUAGUUUCCAGUCCAGUUCUCCAGUACUCCGGUCAAGGACAAAGCUCUUUUAGUCUGUAAGUCCAUUGUACGAUUAAGGAUAUAGUAUAUACUAUAUCAUACAUCUUAAAUCGUGGUCCAAUGUAGUAGUCCGUGAUAAAAACCACAGUUUUAUCUAUGAUUGUGAUUUAAACAUGAAAAAUAUGAUAAGAAUUACGGAUGAUUAUAUGUGUGAUAAAAAUGUAUUUCAACAACACGUGUGACGCCUAACGAGAUAUUAAAUUGGCAAUAUUAUAAAUUAAUAAUUAUUUUACAUUUCUGUUAUACAUAUUAAAUAAUAGGAUAUUUUAAUAUUUACUAAUUAGUUAUUAGUAAUAAUUACAUUUUGUAAUAUUAAAAAAUAUAUUUUCUACAAAUACUUAUUUAUAAAAGACAUGUAAGUAUGUCUUUAGCACCAUCUUUGAAAUGGGAAUCUUUAAAUCUAUCUGAACCUGUUCUAAAAACAAUCAAAGAACACUUCAAAUUUCAAUGCAUGACGCCAAUUCAAGUCGAAUCUAUAAAGAAUUUUUUAGAGAAAAAGAAAGAUGUCGCUGCAGAAGCAGUCACUGGUAGCGGGAAAACAUUAGCAUUUUUAGUUCCAAUGCUAGAAUUGAUUUUAAAACGCAGUGAUCCUUUGAAAAAACAUGAAGUUGGAGGUCUUAUAAUAUCUCCUACUAGAGAAUUAGCUACUCAAACCAGUCAUGUCUUGGCCGAAUUUUUGAACAAUAUUGAAGGAGUUACACAAAUGCUAACUUUAGGUGGCAAUCCAAUAGAAACUGAUGUUAAAGCAUUUAAUAAAAAUGGAGCAAACAUUCUUGUGGCUACUCCUGGACGACUAGAAGAUUUAUUAACUAGAAAAAUACCUAAUUUUCAUUUACACAAAUCACUUAAAUCAUUGGAAAUGCUGGUGUUAGAUGAAGCUGAUAAGCUUUUAGAAUUAGGUUUUGAAAAGCCUAUAAAUACUGUUUUACAAUAUUUGCCUACACAAAGAAGAACUGGGUUAUUUUCAGCUACUCAAACUAAACAGGUAGCAAUGCUUGUUAAGGCAGGACUCAGAAAUCCUAUUAUGGUUAUUGUCAAGGAAAAACAUUGUUUAAACCCAAAAAGUAAUCAAAUUGAAUCCAUAUCUACACCUUCUGCAUUACAAAAUUAUUACACAAUAUGUGAUGCUGAUAAAAAAUUAGCAUUCUUAGUGACGUUUUUAAAAAAAAAUGGAUUAAAUUCAAAAUAUAUGUUGUUUUUAUCAACAUGUGCUUGUGUUGAAUACUUUUCAAUAAUUUUAAAAAGUCUGAUACCUGAAAUAAACUUAUUCAGCUUACACGGAAAAAUGAAUAAUAAACGUUAUAGAAUAUUUGAAUUAUUUUGGAAAGCUGAUAGAGGUAUUUUGAUAUGUACGGAUGUAAUGGCACGUGGUGUUGAUAUACCGGAAGUAAAUUGGGUAAUUCAAUACGAUCCUCCUAAUAAUGCAUCUUCUUUUGUACAUCGUGCUGGUCGAACAGCUCGAGUAGGUAAAAGUGGAUCUUCAUUAGUUAUGUUGAUGCCAAAUGAGGAUGCUUACAUACAUUUCAUUUAUUCAAAUCAAAAGGUAAUAUUGGAAUUAAUGCCUGAAUUAGAAGUUGAAAAUGUGGAUCUUAUUGUUGAAAAAGUAAGAAAGCGUCAACUCAAAGAUAGAACAAUAUUUGAUAAAGCUAAUAAAGCAUUUGUAUCUUACAUACAAGCUUAUUCAAAACAUGAAUGUCAUUUACUAUUACGUAUAAAAGGAUAUAAUGCAGAUGCCAUUUUUUCAAAGCAGAAUGUUUUUUGUUAUUUGGAAACAGUGGGACACUGCUCAAAAGUGGGACGACUGCUCUGCCCAAAGCGAGACAUAUGGUCAUGUUAAUUAUAUUCUCAAACAUGAAUAUGGCAAUACAUCUAGAUAGGAAUGCAUCUGAGACCUGAAUAGAUAUAUUAUAAUGCCUAAUAUCCCUGUGGGCUGUGAUUUUAAUUAUGUAUAAUUUGGAAUUUGGUAAACUUGCAACUGGCUUUGGUCUGUUAAGACUUCCAAAAAUGCCAGAAUUAAAAAACAAGGAUACUAGUGAUUUUAUUCCUGUUGAUAUUGACUUCAAUUCUAUUAAAUAUCA